CUGUUCGUAAGACAACCGGACCCUAAUUAAACAAAAGAAGAUAAUAGAUUAGAAACUAUAAGGCUAUAUCAAGCUAUGAAUUCAGUUGUAUGCAUGGUAAGCAGGAGAAGAAAUAUUUAGUGCAAGGUAUGUAUGUAUAUUAGUUUCAUUUGCACACGCUUUGAGAUUGACAUAAUCCAAUGGUGAAGAUUUUCCAAUUGUUUUUCACCAUUCCAAGUUUCAGACUUUUCAAACAUUACGAAUUUUUACCUGACUUGGCGGAAGAAUUCUUU
rnacentral:misc_RNA from 1 species